rnacentral:rRNA from 1 species
GACGUAGGGUGCGAGCGUUGUCCGGAUUUAUUGGGCGUAAAGAGCUCGUAGGCGGCUCGUCGCGUCGACCGUGAAAACCAGCAGCUUAACUGCUGGCUUGCGGUUGAUACGGGCGGGCUAGAGUUCGGUAGGGGAGACUGGAAUUCCUGGUGUAGCGGUGAAAUGCGCAGAUAUCAGGAGGAACACCGGUGGCGAAGGCGGGUCUCUGGGCCGAUACUGACGCUGAGGAGCGAAAGCGUGGGGAGCGAACAGG